rnacentral:snoRNA from 1 species
AUCCUUUUGUAGUUCAUAAGCAUGAAGAUAGGGUGUUCACACAGUUGUAUGACACGUGCCUCACUCAAACCCUGUUACAUCUGCACCCUAUCUGAUG